ensembl:snoRNA Snord45b small nucleolar RNA, C/D box 45B
GGUCAGUGAUGUUAUGGCAUGUAUUAGCUGAAGGCUGACUUGAUGUAAGCUGUAAAAUUACACUGAGACCUU